ACUCCUACGGGAGGCAGCAGUAAGGAAUAUUGGUCAAUGGACGCAAGUCUGAACCAGCCAUGCCGCGUGAAGGAUUAAGGUCCUCUGGAUUGUAAACUUCUUUUAUCUGGGACGAAAAAAGGCUAUUCUUAGUCACUUGACGGUACCAGAUGAAUAAGCACCGGCUAACUCCGUGCCAGCAGCCGCGGUAAUACGGAGGGUGCAAGCGUUAUCCGGAUUCACUGGGUUUAAAGGGUGCGUAGGCGGGCAGGUAAGUCAGUGGUGAAAUCCUGGAGCUUAACUCCAGAACUGCCAUUGAUACUAUCUGUCUUGAAUAUUGUGGAGGUAAGCGGAAUAUGUCAUGUAGCGGUGAAAUGCUUAGAUAUGACAUAGAACACCUAUUGCGAAGGCAGCUUACUACGCAUAUAUUGACGCUGAGGCACGAAAGCGUGGGGAUCAAACAGGAUUAGAUACCCUGGUAGUCCACGCCCUAAACGAUGGAUACUCGACAUACGCGAUACACUGUGUGUGUCUGAGCGAAAGCAUUAAGUAUCCCACCUGGGAAGUACGACCGCAAGGUUGAAACUCAAAGGAAUUGGCGGGGGUCCGCACAAGC
rnacentral:rRNA from 1 species